rnacentral:RNase_P_RNA from 1 species
CUGAUUUUGCGGGCGGUCGCGGGUGGACAAAACCUUGAGAAAUCAAGGUUUUCGAAGCGCGAGGAAAGUCCGGACUCCAAAGGACGAUGCAGGGGGUAAUGCCCCUCACGGUGUGCCGGUCAAACGGUGUGCUGGCGGAACAGUGGAACAGAGAGAAUGUCCAGGGCUAUGAGCCGACGAACGGGAACGGGAGUUCAUCGGGGAGCUGCUGGAGUGAAAACAGCCAAACUCUGCAUGGAGCAAGAACAAAUAGGGAAGCGGUUAAAUGCGGUCCGCAUGUGCUUCCGGGUACGUUCGCUUGAGCCCACAGGUAACUGUGGGCCUAGAUGAAUGAUCGCCACUUUGCUGGAGUUCGGAACGAAGGCAGAGAACAGGAUCCGGCUUACAGCAAAAUCAAAGUC